rnacentral:rRNA from 1 species
UACGAAGGGGGCUAGCGUUGCUCGGAAUCACUGGGCGUAAAAGCGCACGUAGGCGGAUUCUUAAGUCAGGGGUGAAAUCCUGGAGCUCAACUCCAGAACUGCCUUUGAUACUGGGAAUCUCGAGUCCGGAAGAGGUGAGUGGAACUGCGAGUGUAGAGGUGAAAUUCGUAGAUAUUCGCAAGAACACCAGUGGCGAAGGCGGCUCACUGGUCCGGUACUGACGCUGAGGUGCGAAAGCGUGGGGAGCAAACAGG